rnacentral:rRNA from 1 species
CCUACGGGAGGCAGCAGUGGGGAAUAUUGGGCAAUGGGCGCAAGCCUGACCCAGCAACGCCGCGUGAAGGAAGAAGGCUUUCGGGUUGUAACCUUCUUUUCUCAGGGACGAAGAAAGUGACGGUACCUUAGGAAUAAGCCACGGCUAACUACGUGCCAGCAGCCGCGGUAAUACGUAGGUGGCAAGCGUUAUCCGGAUUUAUUGGGUGUAAAGGGCGUGUAGGCGGGAGCGCAAGUCAGAUGUGAAAACUCAGGGCUCAACCCUGAGCCUGCAUUUGAAACUGUGGUUCUUGAGUGCUGGUGAGGCAAUCGGAAUUCCGGGUGUAGCGGUGAAAUGCGUAGAUAUAAGGAGGAACACCAGUGGCGAAGGCGGAUUGCUGGACAGUAACUGACGCUGAGGCGCGAAAGCGUGGGGAGCAAACAGGAUUAGAUACCCCAGUAGUC